rnacentral:rRNA from 1 species
AAAAAAGGUAAGCUACUAAGAGCGAAUGGUGGAUGCCUUGACUGGUAAAGGCGAUGAAGGACGUACUAGACUGCGAUAAGCUACGGGGAGCUGUCAAGAAGCUUUGAUCCGUAGAUUUCCGAAUGGGGCAACCCAAUGUAUAGAGAUAUACAUUACCUAUAUAGGAGCGAACGAGGGGAAUUGAAACAUCUUAGUACCCUCAGGAAAAGAAAUCAAUAGAGAUUGUGUCAGUAGCGGCGAGCGAAAGCGCAAGAGGGCAAACCCAGUGCUUGCACUGGGGGUUGUAGGACUGCAAUGUGCAAGAGCUGAGUUUAGCAGAACAUUCUGGAAAGUAUAGCCAUAGAGGGUGAUAGUCCCGUAUGCGAAAAACAAAGCUUAGCUAGCAGUAUCCUGAGUAGGGCGGGACACGAGGAAUCCUGUCUGAAUCCGGGUCGACCACGAUCCAACCCUAAAUACUAAUACCAGAUCGAUAGUGCACAAGUACCGUGAGGGAAAGGUGAAAAGAACUGAGGUGAUCAGAGUGAAAUAGAACCUGAAACCAUUUGCUUACAAUCAUUCAGAGCACUAUGUAGCAAUACAGUGUGAUGGACUGCCUUUUGCAUAAUGAGCCUGCGAGUUGUGGUGUCUGGCAAGGUUAAGCAAACGCGAAGCCGUAGCGAAAGCGAGUCUGAAUAGGGCGCUUAGUCAGAUGCUGCAGACCCGAAACGAAGUGAUCUAUCCAUGAGCAAGUUGAAGCUAGUGUAAGAACUAGUGGAGGACUGAACCCAUAGGCGUUGAAAAGCCCCGGGAUGACUUGUGGAUAGGGGUGAAAGGCCAAUCAAACUUCGUGAUAGCUGGUUCUCUCCGAAAUAUAUUUAGGUAUAGCGUUGUGUCGUAAUAUAAGGGGGUAGAGCACUGAAUGGGCUAGGGCAUACACCAAUGUACCAAACCCUAUCAAACUCCGAAUACCUUAUAUGUAAUCACAGCAGUCAGGCGGCGAGUGAUAAAAUCCGUCGUCAAGAGGGAAACAACCCAGACUACCAGCUAAGGUCCCUAAAUCUUACUUAAGUGGAAAACGAUGUGAAGUUACUUAAACAACCAGGAGGUUGGCUUAGAAGCAGCCAUCCUUUAAAGAAAGCGUAAUAGCUCACUGGUCUAGU